rnacentral:rRNA from 1 species
AUUGAACGCUGGCGGCAGGCUUAACACAUGCAAGUCGAGCGAGCGGAGGACGGGUGAGUAAUGUCUGGGAAACUGCCUGAUGGAUGGGGAUAACUACUGGAAACGGUAGCUAAUACCGCAUACCAUCAGAUGUGCCCCGAUGGGCUUAGCUAGUCGGUGGGGUAAUGGCUCAACUAGGCGACGAUCCCUAGCUGGUCUGAGAGGAUGACCAGCAACACUGGAACUGAGACACGGUCCAGACUCCUACGGGAGGCAGCAGUGGGGAAUAUUGCACAAUGGACGCAAGCCUGAUGCAGCCAUGCCGCGUGUGUGAAGAAUGCCUUCGGGUUGUAAAGCACUUUCAGCAAGGAGGCGUUACUGAAAGAAGAAGCAACGGCUAACUCCGUGCCAGCAGCCGCGGUAAUUC